GACGAACGCUGGCGGCGUGCUUAACACAUGCAAGUCGAACGGAAAGGCGCGGCUUUUGCGGGUUGCUCGAUUGGCGAACGGGUGAGUAACACGUGAGUAACCUGCCCUUGUCUUUGGGAUAACUUCAGGAAAAUGGGGCUAAUACAGGAUAUGAUCUCCUGCUGCAUGGGGGGGGAUGGAAAGUUACGGCGGUUGGGGAUGGACUCGAGGCUUCUCAGCUUGUUGGUGGGGUUGUGGCUCACCAAGGCUUUGACGGGUAGCCGGCCUGAGCGGGUGACCGGCCACAUUGGCACCGGGAUACGGCCCUGGCUGCUCCUGGGGGAAACGGUGGAGACUGACGCACAAUGGGCGGAUGCCUGAUGCAGCACCUCCGCGUGCGAGAUGACGGCCUUCGGGUUGUAAAAAGCUUUCGCCUGUGACGAAGCGUGAGUGGCGGUAUUGGCAAAAGAAGCCCCGGCUACCUACGU
rnacentral:rRNA from 1 species